UACGUAGGGGGCAAGCGUUGUCCGGAAUUAUUGGGCGUAAAGGGCUCGUAGGCGGUUUGUCGCGUCGGGAGUGAAAACACGGGGCUUAACCCCGUGCCUGCUUCCGAUACGGGCAGACUAGAGGUAUGCAGGGGAGAACGGAAUUCCUGGUGUAGCGGUGAAAUGCGCAGGAUAUCAGGAAGAACACCCGUGGCGAAGGCGGUUCUCUGGGACGGUACUGACGCUGAGACGCGAAAGCGUGGGGAGCGAACAGG
rnacentral:rRNA from 1 species